UAAAGUUAUGAGAGAGAGAAGGAAAGAAGAAGGGAAUAUUUGAAAGACAAGCAACCAAAAAAAAGGGGAAAAGAAAAGUGGAUUUGGGUAUGUCUGAAUGUUGGGAGGUGAAGAUAAACAAAUAAGACAUGAGAGGUAGCUGCUGUCAAGGAAAUAUUACUGUAUAUACCAAGAAAACGUUGGAGUAAUGUCUUCAUUAUGCAGUUAUAUAUAUAUCAUUCACUUUAAACGGCUAAGUACAGGAUCUUGUUGGUAGUCGUCGUCGUCGUCGCGUCGGUGGAAGUUGAAGGAAAACACCUCGAAAACAAAACAAGAAAAGCCACAUGAUUUGAAAUGUUUUUCAAAGUACAAGAAACCAAAAACACAGAAAAUGAGUUGGAUGGAAAAAGAAUAUGUAUAGAAUAUGAUAUACACACGCAUAUCUGGUCUCAUGGGAUGGGUAUUUCUCAGAGUCUGUCUAUGGAUUAAAUAAUGAAAAAGAGAUUUCUGUCUUCAGAUAAUUGGGUGUGUGGUCAUGUCUAUCACAACUCAAAUGUAAUUAUUUAAUCAAUAUUGACCAUUUAUUGGACCAGGUCAGUGUCUAGAGGGAGUGGGAGACAAUCUUACCUCCCAGCUAUCUUCUAUCAUUCGUAUUUCGAUUAUAUAAUAUAAUCCAUAGUUGUAUACACCCAACCAAUUGGUAUUAAAAUAAAACAAGAAGAUAUACUUACUUUUUCCCAUGA